AUUGAACGCUGGCGGCAUGCUUUACACAUGCAAGUCGAACGGCAGCGCGGGCUUCGGCCUGGCGGCGAGUGGCGAACGGGUGAGUAAUACAUCGGAACGUGCCCAGUAGUGGGGGAUAGCUCGGCGAAAGCCGGAUUAAUACCGCAUACGACCUGAGGGUGAAAGCGGGGGAUCUUCGGACCUCGCGCUAAUGGAGCGGCCGAUGGCAGAUUAGCUAGUUGGUGGGGUAAAGGCCUACCAAGGCGACGAUCUGUAGCUGGUCUGAGAGGACGACCAGCCACACUGGGACUGAGACACGGCCCAGACUCCUACGGGAGGCAGCAGUGGGGAAUUUUGGACAAUGGGCGAAAGCCUGAUCCAGCAAUGCCGCGUGUGUGAUGAAGGCCUUCGGGUUGUAAAGCACUUUUGGCGGGAACGAAAAGGACUGUGCCAAUACCACGGUUCGAUGACGGUACCCGCAGAAUAAGCACCGGCUAACUACGU
rnacentral:rRNA from 1 species